CAAUCAAGUGUCUUAAGGGCAAUUAGUGGAUGCCUUGGCAUGCACAGGCGAUGAAGGACGUGAUACGCUGCGAUAAGCGUCGGGGAGGUGCGAAUACCCUUUGAUCCGACGAUUUCCGAAUGGGGAAACCCACCUAAAAUACUUGGAAAAUCAGAGUGGCAGGCGACUGCUGCUGUGGUUUCCAAGUAUUUAUUAUAGGUAACUUACCCUGAAUAUAUAGGGGUAAAGUGGCGAACGCGGGGAACUGAAACAUCUAAGUACCCGUAGGAAAGGACAUCAACCGAGACUCCGGAAGUAGUGGCGAGCGAACCCGGACCAGGCCAGUGAUCUUGGCGAGACAAGCAGAACCAUCUGGAAAGUUGGGCGAUAUGGGUGACAGCCCCGUAUGCGUAAUGCGAACCAAGAUCCUUGAGUAAGGCGGGACACGUGAAAUCCUGUCUGAAAUUCGGAGGACCACCUUCGAAGCCUAAGUACUCGUGCAUGACCGAUAGCGAACUAGUACCGUGAGGGAAAGGUGAAAAGCACCCCAACGAGGGGAGUGAAAAAGUACCUGAAACUGGUUGCCUACAAACAGAUGGAGCCUGAAAGGGUGACAUCGUACCUUUUGUAUAAUGGGUCAGCGACUUAGUGUAUCGAGCAAGCUUAAGCCGGUAGGUGUAGGCGCAGCGAAAGCGAGUCUGAACAGGGCGUUCAGUUCGAUGCAUUAGACCCGAAACCGAGUGAUCUAGCCAUGAGCAGGUUGAAGGUGAGGUAACACUCACUGGAGGACCGAACCCAUAACUGUUGCAAUAGUUCGGGAUGACUUGUGGCUAGGGGUGAAAGGCCAAUCAAACUCGGAAAUAGCUGGUUCUCCGCGAAAUCUAUUUAGGUAGAGCGUCGACCGAAUACCCUGGGGGGUAAAGCACUGCAUGGGCUAGGGGUCCUCACCGGAUUACCAAACCUAAGCAAACUCUGAAUACCCAGGAGUACUAGUCGGCAGACACACGGCGGGUGCUAACGUCCGUCGUGAAAAGGGAAACAACCCUGACCAACAGCUAAGGUCCCCAAGUUAUGGCUAAGUGGGAAAGGAUGUGAGGAUCCCAAAACAACCAGGAUGUUGGCUUAGAAGCAGCCAUCAUUUAAAGAAAGCGUAACAGCUCACUGGUCUAAAUAAGGGUCUUUGCGCCUAAAAUGUAACGGGGCUAAAGCCAUACACCGAAGCUUUGGGUGCAUAGCAAUAUGCGCGGUAGCGGAGCGUUCUGUAGGCCUGUGAAGGGAGACCCGUGAGGGCUCCUGGAGGUAUCAGAAGUGCGAAUGCUGACAUGAGUAACGUAAGGAGUGUGAGAGACACUCCCGCCGAAAGACCAAGGGUUCCUGCUUAAAGUUAAUCUGAGCAGGGUUAGCCGG
rnacentral:rRNA from 1 species